AUUUUACAAAGGGGAACCAUCCUACAUAACUCUUUUGUGUAUGCCUGUUUGUGGUUUAGUGUAUGUGUUGCAGUGUUUGGGUUUUGGGUGCUUUUGUUUUGAAGGCGCAAAUCCGGCGCUUAUUUUUUAUUCUGAAAGGGCCAGGACGUUGUCCGUGUUUUGUUCUUUUGAGUGAUUGAUCGUGGAAAACGAGGGACACAUGCUAUGAGAAGAAGGAGAUGCUGCACGUACGCGAAUCCACUUCAUGUAAAGGAUGAAACAUCGUUAAUAGCGCUUAACUGGAUGGUGCAAAGGUAUGUUUGUGGGGGCUGUUCAUGUGUAAAUUGAUUUGUUGUCCGGUUUGCUAACCUUGUGUAUGUGAUUGACAAGUGCGCCCGGAUGAAAAUGUGAGAGUGUAAUUGUGCUUUGUGUUUUAUUUCAGCUCUUACGGUGUCUGUGGUGUGUGUGUUAAAAAAAUUAAAAGUUGAAGCCACAUCACAGUGCAUCUGUCCUCGUUCAUGGAGUCUUUAAAUCCAGUUGAGAUGCUACAGUCUCUGGUACGGAACAAAAACUUAACUCCACACAUAACUAUUAAAACAAUUAAAAGUGGAGUCUCGAGAGAUUAGAGACCAAAGCAGUCGUUUCAUCAUUCAUAGCGUUUGUUCCGCACUGUGUCAGUAAGUCUGUGUGUGUGUGUCUGUGUGCGUGUGUGCGCCAGCCCCCACCGUUAAUACGUUAAUUCAUUUAAACGUAUGCAUUGAGUAUUUAAAUACAGAAUAAAUAUGUGAUAUCAUUAAAUACAAUAAUAAGAUGCAUAAAUACAUGAUCAAGUUAGAAUACCUAAAACGUUUAAAAUUGCUAUCAAAACAUUAUGAUUAACUAUGUUCUUUCCCCUUAUAUCCAAACAGAGGCCGCUCUGAGAGCUUUACCACAAGCACAAAAGAACGGCGUCGAACGAGCUGUGGGGAUGUGUAAGAAGGUCGUCAGUGCCUUCUCUAACUCACCCAAGAAAAGGAGGGAGCUCCACAAGGCUCAGGAGGCCCUAGGCUUGCCUUUCCGUGAGCUCAUCACUGAGUCUCCUAAAAGAUGGGGUUCACACUCUUCAAUGAUCAAGAGGUUUCUAGAGCAGGAGAGCGCUCUGUCUCAAGUCCUCCGUGCGGACAAAAAGGUGAGACAGCUAAUCCAAGUGUAUCACAGCUUAUUUUCCACUGUACACACACACACACACACACACACACACACUCUACAGUUCCUCAAACUGUUUACACAUGCACACACAGACACAGACACAGACACACAGCAAUAAUUCACCUCAUUAAACAGCCCCUUUCCUCUAUUCUCUGACACAGAAGAGACACCUGGUGCCAAACUGGCAAGACAUUUCCCUCCUUGAGAGCAUCAACAAGGCCCUGGCUCCUCUUAUGGAGUUCACUGAUGCCUUGUCGGAGGAGAAGUACAUCAGCAUCUCCUUCCUGAAGCCCGUCAUCCAUCUCUUCAAUACUGAGGUACUCAAGAGGCAGGAUGACCCAGAGCUGACAGAGGCCAUCCGCGAGGCCAUCCUUCAGUACCUGAACGAGAAAUAUAAUGACCCUACCACCGACCACCUCCUCGACAUAGCCACACUAGUCGACCCGCGCUUCAAGACGGCCUACAUCCGGGAUGCAGAGAGGGUGAAGCUGAUCAAGACUAAGGCUGCUACAGAGAUGGAGGACAUGGUGAGAACUGAACAUGCACCUACAGCAGCAGCCCCCUCACCUCCACCAGCUGCUGCUGCUCUAAAGGAAGAGGAUGAUCCACAGCCUCUCCUUCCAGCAAGGAAGGUAAGGAAGAGUCUUGCGAGCUACUUCAAGAAGACACCGGCACCAGGCCAUGGCACCACCCCCAGCAGGAUGUAAAUUGAGAUGGAGCUGAAUAUGUACAUGCAGGCUCCUGAGCCUGACUCCGAGGCCGACCCUCUGGAAUGGUGGAAACUGAAUGGGAUGAACUUCCCUCAUGUAGCCAAGCUUGCAAAGAAAUAUCUGUGCAUUCCCGCGACCAGCGCUUCAUCUGAACGGGCCUUCAGCACCAGCAGUAACAUUGUUAUCUGCAAGAGGUCAUGCCUCAAGCCCAACCAAAUUGACAUGCUCACUUUCCUUGCCCUCAACCUUUAAGGUUCAUCCCAUGCAUUCAUUCCUGUUUGUGCCUGACUGUGACACCUACAGAGGCUGCUUGCAGCCUUAAAGUACUGUUAGUUCUUAAACUGUUUUUUCUUCAGACUUGCACUUGUUUUUUGCACUUGUUAAUGAUUCCAGAGACUACAACUGUGUACACUUAAUACACAAAAAGUAUUUGUUUAAAUUUCAUUGUGAUCUACUACUGUUCUGACUGCACUAAAGGCUAACGUCAAUGAUUCCAGAGACAUGCACUUUAAGUUUUUUUAUUGCAAUUGUUUACAUCUGACCUCACCAUCGACAGCUCCCCAGUUUCCCCCUCCCCCCAGGUAAAGAGUCUGGGUGUCAUCCUCGACAGUACACUCUCCUUUCAUUCCCACAUCAACACCAUUACUCGCACUGCUUACUUCCACCUCCGCAACAUCAACAGACUCCGCCCCUCCCUCACUCCCCACUCCACCGCCGUCCUUGUCCACAGCCUUGUCACCUCCCGCCUGGACUAUUGCAACUCCCUCCUUUUCGGCCUCCCCCAGAAAUCUCUCCAUAAACUCCAACUGGUCCAAAACUCAGCUGCCCGCAUCAUUACAAAGACCCCCACACACCACCACAUCACCCCCGUCCUCCAGCACCUCCACUGGCUCCCCAUCAAAGACCGGAUCAUCUACAAACUUCUCCUGUUCGCAUACAUGGCCAUCCAUAACCUUGCCCCCCCCUACCUGUCCGACCUCCUGCACGUCAUCACCCCCACCCGCUCCCUCCGGUCCUCCUCCUCCAUCCACCUCUCUGUCCCCCCUGCCCGCCUCAGUACAAUGGGGGGCAGAGCCUUCAGUCGCUCCGCCCCCCAGCUCUGGAACUCACUACCACCCGAUCUCAGAAACACUGACUCCUUUCUCUCUUUCAAAACACUACUCAAAACCCACCUGUUUCGCUCCGCAUACUCCCUGUAGCUGUCUUAUCCAUUCCGUGUCGAUUUUUAUCUGUUUAAAAUGCUUAUUGUUUUAUUUAUUGUCUUAUUGCGAAUUUCUUGUUUUUAACGUUGUACAGUGACCCUGGGUGCUUUGAAGGGCGCUUUCAAAUAAAAUUUAUUAUUAUUAUUAUUAUUAUCUGAUACCAAAAGUAUAUGUUUAUUUUUAGUUAUGAUCUAGCAUUCUGACUGCACUUCAGAGAAACUUUAAUACUUGUAAAACUUUAAAAAUGUGUUUUAAAAACUUGAAGAAUGUGUUUUGUUGCAAUUGUUGUUUGCUAUACCAAAUAUAUUUGUUUAUUUCAAUUGCAAAUAAAGUGAGAAAAAAGGUAA